rnacentral:rRNA from 1 species
AAAGCAGGUCAUAGUGAUCCGGUGGUUCUGAAUGGAAGGGCCAUCGCUCAACGGAUAAAAGGUACUCCGGGGAUAACAGGCUGAUACCGCCCAAGAGUUCAUAUCGACGGCGGUGUUUGGCACCUCGAUGUCGGCUCAUCACAUCCUGGGGCUGAAGUAGGUCCCAAGGGUAUGGCUGUUCGCCAUUUAAAGUGGUACGCGAGCUGGGUUUAGAACGUCGUGAGACAGUUCGGUCCCUAUCUGCCGUGGGCGCUGGAGAACUGAGGGGGGCUGCUCCUAGUACGAGAGGACCGGAGUGGACGCAUCACUGGUGUUCGGGUUGUCAUGCCAAUGGCACUGCCCGGUAGCUAAAUGCGGAAGAGAUAAGUGCUGAAAGCAUCUAAGCACGAAACUUGCCCCGAGAUGA